rnacentral:rRNA from 1 species
CUGCCUACGGGGGGCAGCAGUGGGGGAUAUUGCACAAUGGGGGGAACCCUGAUGCAGCGACGCCGCGUGGGCGAUGGAGUGCUUCGGCAUGUAAAGCCCUAUCAGCAGGGAAGAAAAUGACGGUACCUGACUAAGAAGCCCCGGCUAAAUACGUGCCAGCAGCCGCGGUAAUACGUAUGGGGCAAGCGUUAUCCGGAUUUACUGGGUGUAAAGGGAGCGUAGGCGGCCUGGCAAGCCUGAUGUGAAAUACCGGGGCCCAACCCCGGGGCUGCAUUGGAAACUGUGGAGCUAGAGUGCUGGAGAGG